rnacentral:rRNA from 1 species
GAUGAACGCUGGCGGCGUGCCUAAUACAUGCAAGUCGAGCGAACAGACGAGGAGCUUGCUCCCUGGACGAUUGCGGCGGACGGGAGAGAAACACGUGGAUAAUCCACCUAUAAGACGGGGAUAAAUUCGAGAAACCGGAUAAAAUCCCAGAAAAUAUAUUGAACCGUAUGGUUCAAUAGAAAAAGACGGUUGUGCCGCUACCAAUAGGUGGAUCCUCGCGGUAUUAGCUAGUUGGGAAGGUAACGGAUUACCAAGGCAACGAAUCGUAGCCGACCUGAGAGGGUGAUCGGCCACACUGGAACUGAGAAACGGUCCAGACUCCUACGGGAGGCAGCAGUAGGGAAUCUUCGGCAAUGGGCGAAAGCCUGACGGAGCAACGCCGCGUGAGUGAUGAAGGUCUUCGGAUCGUAAAACUCUGUUAUUAGGGAAGAACAAAUGUGUAGGUAACUAUGCACGUCUUGACGGUACCUAAUCAGAAAGCCACGGCUAACUACGUG